UACAGAGGGGGCAAGCGUUGUUCGGAAUUACUGGGCGUAAAGCGCACGUAGGCGGCUUUGUAAGUUAGAGGUGAAAGCCCGGAGCUCAACUCCGGAACUGCCUUUAAGACUGCAUCGCUUGAAUCCAGGAGAGGUGAGUGGAAUUCCGAGUGUAGAGGUGAAAUUCGUAGAUAUUCGGAAGAACACCAGUGGCGAAGGCGGCUCACUGGACUGGUAUUGACGCUGAGGUGCGAAAGCGUGGGGAGCAAACAGG
rnacentral:rRNA from 1 species